GUAAAUAUAGUUUAAACAAAACACUAGAUUGUGAAUCUAACAAUAGAGGCUAGUACCCUCUUAUUUACC
rnacentral:tRNA from 1 species